rnacentral:rRNA from 1 species
AGCUCCAAUAGCGUAUAUUAAAAUUGUUGCAGUUAAAAAGCUCGUAGUUGGAUUUCUGGUUUGAGCGUCCGGUCGGCCUUGUGCUUGUACUAUGGAUGUUUGGGCCAUAUUUUGUGAGGAUGCCUUUCUGCCAUUGAGUUGGUGGUUGGGUGGACUUGCAUCGUUUACUGUGAAAAAAUUAGAGUGUUUAAAGCAGGCGUUUGCUCAUUUGAAUACAUUAGCAUGGAAUAAUAAGAUACGACCUUGGUGGUCUAUUUUGUUGGUUUGCACGCCAGGGUAAUGAUUAAUAGGGACAGUUGGGGGUAUUCAUAUUUCAACGUCAGAGGUGAAAUUCUUGGAUCGUUGAAAGAUGAGCUUAGGCGAAAGCAUUUACCAAGGAUGUUUUCA